AGGUGGCAGCCAGGAGAGGCGGGGCUAAGGGCUGGAAGAGAGAGACUCUCCUACACCAAUCAGCGAGCCGAAGACGGGGCAGGGCUGAGAAGAAGCGCAAGGCAGCCUCCCCGGAACAGGCGGAAGGGCCUUCAAACAGCACACGCAGCAGGUUGCCCUUCUGCCCUCAGCUACAGACUUCCUUGAAGGCUGGGAAUUGUCCGAAAUCUUGUGGCCGACCUGUGAUUUCAUGAUCGUGUUUUUCACAUCGCUUCCCCCAGAACCCGCCUAAGAUGAGAAAAUGUGACCUGCCCAGUGUCUCACAGAUGGUAGACAAAGGAAUCAGGAUUUGAACCAAAGGCCUUCUGAGUC